GUGCCACGUGUCCCACGUCUCCCAGUGGGAGACGUUGGAUGUCCCCCUGGCCAUUUAAUGAAUUUUGGGUCUUCUUCUUCCUCAUAACACCAAACAGAGAGAGCACACCAAACAGAGAGCACGAAAGGGGUUGCGAUUUUAGGGUUUUCAAGGUUGUGAUUUUGGUGGUGAGAUUUUAGAGAGUACUUUGCAUCAAAACUUCUAUAUCUAUCAAUCACACAUUUGAGAUGGUUAGGUCACUAUUAUAGGGGAAAUGCUGCCCGAUAUUAUUUAGGAUAAUAAACGAUUAGUUGAGAACGGGCAUUACUUGAUUGAACAUGCAAGUCCCAGGCAUUACUUGAGAACGCUAACAAGCACAUCAUAUACAGAGGCACAAAUUGAUGAGUUGCGACAAGAAUGGGCGACAUAUAUGUUGCCGAUAAUCCAAAGUUACCGACCUCGUUGAUAGGUUUUUUUUUAAUUUUUUAACUCUUUCUUCAUACACAAUGCAAUAUUUGUUCAUUUUGAAUAUUUCUAACAAAUAUUGUAUUUCUUGUAUAUAUCUAACAAAUAUAUAUUUUUUAUUUCAAUUUAA